GACGAACGCUGGCGGCGUGCCUAAUACAUGCAAGUCGAACGCACUCUCGUUUAGAUUGAAGGAGCUUGCUCCCGAUUGAUAAACAUUUGAGUGAGUGGCGGACGGGUGAGUAACACGUGGGUAACCUGCCCUAAAGUGGGGGAUAACAUUUGGAAACAGAUGCUAAUACCGCAUAAAACCUAACACCGCAUGGUGUAGGGUUGAAAGAUGGUUUCGGCUAUCACUUUAGGAUGGACCCGCGGUGCAUUAGUUAGUUGGUGAGGUAAAGGCUCACCAAGACCGUGAUGCAUAGCCGACCUGAGAGGGUAAAUCGGCCACACUGGGACUGAGACACGGCCCAGACUCCUACGGGAGCAGCAGUAGGGAAUCUUCCACAAUGGACGAAAGUCUGAUGGAGCAACGCCGCGUGAGUGAAGAAGGUUUUCGGAUCGUAAAACUCUGUUGUUGGAGAAGAAUGUAUCUGAUAGUAACUGAUCCGUAGUGACGGUAUCCAACCAGAAAGCCACGG
rnacentral:rRNA from 1 species